GAACAAAUAAAAAAAUUUAAAAAGUGUAGUAACUUUGAAAGUGUUUACCAAUUUUACUCCAAUCUCUAUUUCUAACUUGGGAAGAGUUCAAGAGUUUUAGAAGAAAAGAAAAAAAAAAUUAGAUGCCAGGAAGUACUAGAGAUUUCAUUUCACCACAUUUCACCCUCCCUAAUAAGCUCUAGAAAAGAGAACAGGCUAUCAGAAACCCUCAAGGCGUUUUGAGAAUUCUGAAAAGAUAAAUAUGUUCUUCCUUUCAAAGUAGAGAUAAAAUGAUUGACAAGUCUAACCUCCCUUUUUUCUCUCCCUUCUCUAGAUAAAGCAAGUAAACAAAAAUGACCAUUCUCUUUGAGAACCUCAGAGAGCCUCAGAGACAGCCUCUAAGAUUUCUAAUACCUCAGUAUGGGAAAAGAACCACAGGGUAUUUAUUUGAGCUUAAAGUGGCAGGGAGAGAGAGAGAGAGAGAGAGAGAGAGAGAGAGAGAGAGAGAGAGAGAGAGAGAGAAUAGGAAAUGUAAAGAAGACUUUGGGGAGGGAAGACUCCCCAGUAACCUGACAGAACUCUGAUAAAAGAGAAUAUGGGCUUAUAUAUGUCUCAGCAGAUUCUGGACCCUGAUCUAAGUAUAUAUUCCAAUUAAUGACUUCAAUUUGUUUUUCAAAGCUCAAAAAAUCCAUAUGUAACCCCAGGGAACAGGUCAUGUUACUUAGUUGACUAUGCAAAGUCAUUGCUACAUUGGAAAGCUAAAGACCAAUAUUUUAAAAUAAAAUAAAAAAUACAUUUUGCACACUUAUUUAUUAAUAUUGCCUAUAGUUAUGAAUGUCAUACAUCACAUUCCAAGUAGCAAAAGUAUUCAUACUUGCAUGAAUUUAUCACUGGGGGUUGUACGCUUUAGUUCUUCAGAAGAUAUAUAUUAUACAUGUAAUACACAUUUUUCCUCAUGCAACUCAAGUUAGGAAGAGAUGAAAGAAUAUGAAGCAAAGGGAUAAAGAAAAGAAGCACAGUUUAGAGGAAUUUUGCAUAUCUAGUUGAUGGGACUGGAUUUGAGAUCCAAGAAGUUUCUUGCUCUGUGAUUUACCUUGGGGAUAUUGUGAACUAGUCACUACUUGUUCUAAGGACAGUGAAAUUGCAUGAAUUAAGGCAGGAAAAAAAAUGGAGCUAGUAAACUA
rnacentral:lncRNA from 1 species